UAUUUUAAAGAGAGUUUGAUCCUGGCUCAGGACGAACGCUGGCGGCGUGCCUAAUACAUGCAAGUCGAACGAACGGAGGAAGAGCUUGCUCUUCCAAAGUUAGUGGCGGACGGGUGAGUAACACGUGGGCAACCUGCCUGUAAGUUGGGGAUAACUCCGGGAAACCGGGGCUAAUACCGAAUGAUAAAGUGUGGCGCAUGCCACGCUUUUGAAAGAUGGUUUCGGCUAUCGCUUACAGAUGGGCCCGCGGUGCAUUAGCUAGUUGGUAGGGUAAUGGCCUACCAAGGCAACGAUGCAUAGCCGACCUGAGAGGGUG
rnacentral:rRNA from 1 species